ACCGAAGCGCGCGUCUCCGGGCGCCAUUUUGCGGGCCCCCUGAGGGGUCCGUGAGGGGCAGCGGGGCUCGGCUUCACCCCGUGCUCAUGGGGGCGCCCGAGGUGUGUCAGCGUACAUUUAUUUCCAUCGUAGGAGCAGGGGCCGAGCAGGGUGUGCUCCUGGGAAACGCUCAGGGAAUACAGGCCAGGUAGCAUCUGGGACAGAAGAGAGGAGCCUCCGCUUGCACGGGACCUGGAGAAGAACACAUCAGUUGUUGCCAAAACAUGAGGCGUUUUGUGCAUCAUCCGGCCCAAAUCCGCCCAUCUACAGCUUUGGUCUUCACACUGAGACAGGAAAACCUUCCUUGCGCUUCACUCCUGCCAAAAACACCCUGAGGAUCGGGGUUCUCCGUGCCGGGGAGCGGGGUCGAGCGACACGGCCCGGCCCAGGGAGCCCUGCAAGGUGCAGACACAAUUUCCUGUUUAAUUUCCUGACCGUUUCUUGGUAAAGGAAAAGCUGUAAAUUGCAAGAUUGCUUCAGAGACCUUCCUCUGACUUCAGAUGAACUGUUAACCACUUGCAGGAGAGAAUCCAGCAAACCAGCACAAAACUUGUAAAACAACCCUCAUUUUCUUUUAUAUCUUCUGCGAUUCGCGCCGAGAGGAAAGCUGCGCACAAAAUAAAGGUUGGAAACAUUUUCCUUGGAAAAUCAAACAGGAGCAACUCCACCUCCAGCUGAGCAGCCAGUGCUUGGGAGCAGAUGGAAAAUGGCUUCCUGGGGAAGGGAUCCACCUUACCCUAGCCUGGCUGGCAAGUGUUCCAGGCACAACUUCAGCAGCACCUUGGCAAUGCUGUGACAGCCGUGCAGAGCCCUGGUGCUGGAGAAGACAAACAUGGUCUCAGCCACCGGGGAGCUUCUCUUGCCAUCUGAUGGGGCUGAUGGAAUGGGGAGAGUCCAAAGGCUGCUGACAGCUGAGACACAGAGAAUCCAAAUUAACUCUUGCUCUCGUGAUGGAAACCACGUGGGGUGAACCAUGGUGGGUGCCUUGGUGCUUCCCAGCAGCUGCUGUUUGAGCCCCCCUGGGAAAAGAAAAAUCAAAUUUCACUGCAGAAACUGAGAAACGGCAAAACUUUGCGAUGCAAGCAUAAAGGGUUUUUUUAGCCUUUAUUUCUGGGAAGACAGCGUGGGCCGAAGCUUCCCCUUCCUUCUUCACCCUCUCCCCCUGGGCUGAGGGGAAGGGCUGGGAAAGCACCUGGUGCAGGCCAGGGCUGGUUUCCUCUAUGGCCCUGUGCAAAUCAAGGCCACGGUGAGGGAUGCCACAGGCACUUGGUCCAGCAGGCCAGAGCAUCUGUGGCUUUCUCAGCACAAACCCAAACCUGAGACCCACCCCCACACAUCCCCGGGGCUGCAGGGUGGUCAGAGCCCUGGGCAGCAGUGCCAGGAGCAUGGGAGAGUGGCACAGCCCACACAGGAGCAUCAGCACCUCCCAGAUUCCAGAGGUGGGGAUGAGGGACCCACAGGGCUGGC